GACGAACGCUGGCGGCGUGCUUAACACAUGCAAGUCGAGCGGUAAGGCUCCUUCGGGAGUACACGAGCGGCGAACGGGUGAGUAACACGUGAGUAAUCUGCCCUUCACUUCGGGAUAACCACCGGAAACGGUGGCUAAUACCGAAUACGACCAGUCUUCGCAUGAGGUGCUGGUGGAAAGUCUUUUCGGUGAAGGAUGUGCUCGCGGCCUAUCAGCUUGUUGGUGGGGUAAUGGCCUACCAAGGCUUCGACGGGUAGCCGGCCUGAGAGGGUGACCGGCCACACUGGGACUGAGACACGGCCCAGACUCCUACGGGAGGCAGCAGUGGGGAAUAUUGGACAAUGGGCGAAAGCCUGAUCCAGCAACGCCGCGUGAGGGAUGACGGCCUUCGGGUUGUAAACCUCGUUCAGUACCGACGAAGCGCCCUGUCGGGUGGUGACGGUAGGUACAGAAGAAGGACCGGCCAACUACGUG
rnacentral:rRNA from 1 species